AAUUGAAAUAAAAGAUAAACAUGGAUCAAUAACCACACGAGGGAAGAUUGUGAAACUGGAAACCAAGACUGGCCUCAUGUUUUGUCCAUAACAGAAUUUAUGACCUAUGAAGGACAUUUUUUGAAACCUUGUUGGUGGCAUGUAAGAAAAAACAUAAUAAAGAAAUCAUGGAAACCAGAAUCUGAAACAUGACAGACAAGACAGGUUAUAGGACGGGUUACAGGACGAGUUACAGGUUGGGAUACAGGACGAGUUACAGGUUGGAUACAGGACGAGUUACAGGUUGGAUACAGGACGAGUUACAGGUUGGGAUACAGGACGAGUUACAGGUUGGAUACAGGACGAGUUACAGGUUGGGAUACAGGACGAGUUACAGGUUGGGAUACAGGACGAGUUACAGGUUGGGAUACAGGGCGAGUUACAGGUUGGGAACAGGACGAGUUACAGGUUGGAUACAGGA